rnacentral:lncRNA from 1 species
AGUCGUAGUGUGUGGGUGUUCGGCGGAUGAAGGUGGCAUAACUAUAGUGCCUGCUGUCCGUUGUCUUGUUUGCUUUCGUCUUUGUUUCCCCUUCUUUUGUGUUUUUUUUGUUGUCGCUGUUCUGUUGGAACUAUUCCCCUUUCUUAAUGGAAUGAGUGUCCUGGGAAACUUAUGCUAGGGAACACAUGUGUCUGCUUAAUUUAGCAGCGUGAAUAUACCCUUGAGAGUGAGGUGCAUUUGUUUUAUAUACCAACAAAAAUAUUUUUUGAAAAAAUGG